rnacentral:lncRNA from 1 species
UACAGGUUUGUAGCCUAGGAGCAAUAGGCUAUACCUUUAGUCAAGUACCUGAAACUGCUUCUUGCCUUUGCGUUUUUUGUCUUUUAGAAUCAGUACAAUUCAGGCAGCCUAUUUUUUCUUAUGUGUAAAAUGCCUUCUAAGCCAUGGUUAGAUUGUAUGUCUGAAUCAAACUUAAAUAAGUCAAGUUAUUAAAUUACUCUUUUUAGAAGA